UCCGCGCCGACCCGGAAGUGCUGCAGCCGCCGGCGCCGCCGGAGGAAAGGGGAGGAGCUCUGCACGCCGGCCGCGCCCCGCCGGCCGGAGCCCCGCCGGCCGGAGCCCCGCCUAGCCCCGCCGGAGUCCCGCACCGCGCCGAGCCAGCCGCGCCCCUUGCGUCGGGUCCCCUGCGACCCUGAACGGGGCGAGGCGGGCGCCUGUUCUGGCACGUUUGAGUUGGCUACUACGGCGGCCGGGAGACGCUCGGGCCGGAGCCGCGGCGGGGGUGGGGGUUCGGCUCCGUCGUAAUCCGCGCGCGAGCGACUAGCCUUCUGCCCUUCGGAGGCUGGCUGAGAGUAAGAAUGGCCGAGGAGUCAGAAAAAGAGGAGAUAUUGCUAUUUCAGGCUGUCUCUUUCCCCAAAUCACCAGGUUUAUGAUCCUCCUAUUUUCUAAAGAUGGUUACUCUCCUGACUUACAGCUGAAGACCUUUUACAACACUUGUGGAAUGCAACCAAACAGGCUUUGUGACUUUGUCAGAUCCCACUCACCCAUGAACAGAAUUGUGAGUUUUGACUCCAAGUUGGUUGAAUCUUCCUUGUAUUACUGUCCUAAGAAUCUCCCGUUUCCACACAGCUGUACCCUCAUUCUUGGCAACUUCCACAUUUCCAGAAUGACCUAGUCAUGGGACCCAAAAAAGUCCAAAAGUUGUGGGAAGGCUGACUGGCUACAUGAACAAGAAUGACUUAUAAGAAAUUUAAAAGACAUUUACUGUAUAACCUACAUUUAGUAAUUUCCAGGUCAUUCAGUUAAUAAGAAGAAUUGAUAUGGUUUGUGUGUUUCUACUAUUUGUACUUUGUCAUAAUUGCAUUUUAUAGCUAAAACAUGAACAACUUGUAGCUGAGGAUGUAGCUCAGUGGUAGAGCACUUGUCUAGCAUGUGUGAUGCCCUAAGUUCAAUUCCCAACACUGAAAAAGAAAAGAAAAGAAAAGAAAAUUAAAAUUAUAAAAAAAAAAACAAGAGAAACAAUGCACAAGUCAGUUGGCCAGUACAUGAUUCAUAGCACUAAUUCCUAUUUUUUAAGUGUUUCACAGAAUAUGCUGACAUGAUAUUUAGUAGUAAAAAUAAAAACAGGUAGUUGUUCCUGUAAACAUCCUUAAGAAAAGAUACAUAUUUAGAAAACCUGUUUGCUUUUAAAGGAGAAGAAAUAGACUAUGAACAUUGUUUAAAUAAAUCUUAAUCUGGUUACAUGUAUACUUGAGCUCUGGUGGUAGACCAUUUCUGUGUUUCAUCACUUGUUACCUCUAAGGUGCAAAAACUUAAGUUUUAUGAUGGACUAUUACUGUAAUUUCUUUCCUAUAAUUGGUCUGCUUCUGAGGCUAAUUUAGCAAUCAGAUCACUGUAUAAGUAUUCCCAUUUAUGGAUGUACCACAAUUUGACAACCUCGGUCUGAUGCCAUCUUCAGUGAACCUCAACAGGCAUAAGGCACUAUUUUAGGCACUGUAGAGGAUAUAAAGAUGCCUAAGAAGUUAAGAUUACAGAGGGAGAGCAGAACUACAAGUAACUGAGUAUGUAGCUACAUGAGUGUGAAAGAGAUACAGGCAGAGUGGUACAGUGCAGGGGAAUUAAGGUUUGCUUCUCAUUUGAAAAGAAAGAGAAAGGAGAAAGCAUUCCAGAUCAAGGGGGCUGGGCAGAGGCAUGGAGCAGGAGAGUCCAGGCUGCAGUCGGGAAUGAGUAAGCCCUGUGCUAACUAAUACCCGAGUGUGAGUGGGCGACACCAAAGAAAAAGACUGAACAAAACAAUGUGGCAGGUCCUGGACUCUUCUUUCAGAGAGGCAUGAGUCAUAGAGGCUUUGGGCAUGACUGGGAUUUGUUCCAACACUGUUCCAUGAUAAUGUCUCUCAGGCAGUACUAUGACACUGUUUGAUUGCUCAAGCCUCUUGUGUCACUUUUUUUCUGAUGGAAGAGACUCAUUUUAAAAUAAAAACAAAGCAAAAUCUCUUAUCCUUGACCAUGUUCCCUUCUAUUAGU